rnacentral:misc_RNA from 1 species
GAUGAAGAACGUAGCGAAAUGCGAUAAGUAGUGUGAAUUGCAGAAUUCAGUGAAUCAUCGAAACUUUGAACGCACAUUGCGCCCCUUGGUAUUCCAUGGGGCAUGCCUGUUCGAGCGUCAUUUGUACCUUCAAGCUUUGCUUGGUGUUGGGUGUUUGUCUCGCCUUUGCGUGUAGACUCGCCUUAAAAUAAUUGGCAGCCGGCGUAUUGAUUUCGGAGCGCAGUACAUCUCGCGCUUUGCACUCAUAACGACAGCGUCCAAAAGUACAUUUUACACUCUUGACCUCGGAUCAGGUAGGGAUACCCGCUGAACUUAAGCAUAUCAAUAAGCGGAGGA